rnacentral:misc_RNA from 1 species
UUUAGCUUGGCCGGUGUGAUUAACGGGUUGUGGCCUGUGUAGCUACUUUUUUUGUGCAAUGUUUUGUUUUGUGACAACGGCAUGUCAUGUUGCCUUCGAUUAUGAUUUCGAGAAAUUUGCGUGGGCUAUUGAAAAGAUCGGCUUUGUUUGGAGCGAUGGAUGGGUCUCGACCCGUCCGCAGCUCGCAUCAUAUUAUAUGAGCAGCUCUUUCGGAUACGGUGGCUACGUGGGUUCUUGUGGUCCUCUUCGGUCCCCUUGUGACCUUGUAGUUCACACCCGUAACGGUUCGCCGUGUGGUUGGAUCUGGUGCCAUCUUUGCGCUCUUGUUUUUGCCCUCAUGCUGGAGCAAAGGCUGGGCGUGGGGAUGGCAUAUGGGGGGCGGUGUUGAACGUGUGGGAGUUCUAUGAUAUAUUAGUGAUUGCCGUAGCGUGCGUGCGAAUUGGCAUUCCGUCCGGGAGUGCCUCAGCAGCUCGCAGGCUCACUUUUUUUACUUGCUACCUGGUUGAUCCUGCCAGUAGU